UACGUAGGGGGCUAGCGUUGUCCGGAAUCAUUGGGCGUAAAGAGCGUGUAGGCGGUCCGGUAAGUCCGCUGUGAAAGUCGGGGGCUCAACCCUCGAAUGCCGGUGGAUACUGUCGGGCUAGAGUGCGGAAGAGGCGAGUGGAAUUCCUGGUGUAGCGGUGAAAUGCGCAGAUAUCAGGAAGAACACCAAUGGCGAAAGCAGCUUUCUGGGACGGUACUGACGCUGAGACGCGAAAGCGUGGGGAGCAAACAGG
rnacentral:rRNA from 1 species